GGGUUGUGAGGUUAAGCGACUAAGCGUACACGGUGGAUGCCCUGGCAGUCAGAGGCGAUGAAGGGCGUGCUAAUCUGCGAUAAGCGCCGGUAAGGUGAUAUGAACCGUUAUAACCGGCGAUACCCGAAUGGGGAAACCCAGUGUGACUCGUCACACUAUCAUUAACUGAAUCCAUAGGUUAAUGAGGCGAACCGGGGGAACUGAAACAUCUAAGUACCCCGAGGAAAAGAAAUCAACCGAGAUUCCCCCAGUAGCGGCGAGCGAACGGGGAGGAGCCCAGAGCCUGAAUCAGCAUGUGUGUUAGUGGAAGCGUCUGGAAAGGCGCGCGAUACAGGGUGACAGCCCCGUACACAAAAGCGCACAUGCUGUGAGCUCGAUGAGUAGGGCGGGACACGUGGUAUCCUGUCUGAAUAUGGGGGGACCAUCCUCCAAGGCUAAAUACUCCUGACUGACCGAUAGUGAACCAGUACCGUGAGGGAAAGGCGAAAAGAACCCCGGCGAGGGGAGUGAAAAAGAACCUGAAACCGUGUACGUACAAGCAGUGGGAGCCCCACCACUAAGCCAGUGGUGAACUCCACAUACGCAUCCUUUGCUGAGGAUGCGGUUAACGGAGCGAAAGCGACGUUCAACCGCAAAAGAAGCAGAGGGGGCUUAGUGGUGGGGUGACUGCGUACCUUUUGUAUAAUGGGUCAGCGACUUAUAUUCUGUAGCAAGGUUAACCGUAUAGGGGAGCCGGAGGGAAACCGAGUCUUAAU
rnacentral:rRNA from 1 species